UGGGGAAUAUUGGGCAAUGGGCGAAAGCCUGACCCAGCUAUGCCGCGUGAAUGAUGAAGGCCUUAGGGUUGUAAAGUUCUUUUAGAUGGGAAGAUAAUGACGGUACCAUCAGAAAAAGCUCCGGCUAACUUCGUGCCAGCAGCCGCGGUAAUACGAAGGGAGCAAGCGUUGCUCGGAUUUAUUGGGCGUAAAGGGUGUGUAGGCGGUUUGAUAAGUUAGAUGUGAAAGCCCAGGGCUUAACCCUGGAAUUGCAUUUAAGACUGUUGAACUUGAAGAUUGGAGAGGUUAGCAGAAUUCCCAGUGUAGAGGUGAAAUUCGUAGAUAUUGGGAAGAAUACCAAUGGCGUAGGCAGCUAACUGGCCAAAUCUUGACGCUGAGGCACGAAAGCGUGGGGAGCAAACA
rnacentral:rRNA from 1 species